GUUCUUGUAGUUGAGAGUGUCAACGGUGGCUUUUCAAGUCACAGGCCUUGGAGAAAAGCCAAGCAAGAAUU
rnacentral:tRNA from 1 species